UUUGGCAUUCUCCUGUGGGAGUUGUUCUGCGCCGGCGACCCGUUCCAGGGCGUGCCGCGUGCGCACCUGGGUCACGCAAUCACCAAGGAGGCGCGGCGGCCCAAGUUCCCGCCCUUCGCUCCGGCGGGCUUCGUGCGGCUCGCGACGCGUUGCUGGGACCCCGAUGUCUCGCGGCGGCCCACGUUUGAGGAGGUGCUGUCAGAGCUGGUGCGCAUGCGCGAGGAGCUGGGCGGAGAGACGCCACAGCUUGUGCUCGCACGGCCGCGGCGUCCCUCCUCCACCGAGCAGUGCAAUGCAGCAAACCGGGGUAGCCCACGUGUGCCUCAGCUGCAGGAUCAGCGGAGUGCCGCCCGCGUGGGGCAGCAGCAGUUUCAAAGUCGCUCGCUUGACGCCCUGUCGUCGUUCGGGGCGGAGCCUGCUCGUGGCGUCAGCGGUGGUGCAACGGCAGUUACAGCCGCAGCAUGCAGUGCGGCGGCAAUAGCCGCAGGUGGCAGUCUUGGUGGCGACAGGACAGGCAGAUUCGUGAGCUGGGCCAACGGCGCGGUCUCCAGUCCGCUGCCACUGCAUAGCGCAGUGCUCGGCGCCAGCAGCUCUUCUGCAGGCAGCCAUUCUGCCUGCGAGCUAGGCCAGGCCACAGUCGGCGAAGGCAAGGUUGCUUGGGUGAGACGGAGCCUCAGUGACGGCGGACAGGGCGAAGAAAGCAGCGACGAGGCGGCUCACGGGGAAGCGUCCCAUGGCAGCACAAGCAGGGCCGGCCCGCCGCCUGAAGCGCUAGGCGCCGGGAGCUCGCUGGGACUCAGGCCCCAGGGCAAGGGCCCGCAGGUCCAGCGGCGGCUGCGAAAGAUGGGCAUCCAGCUGGGCGGCCCCGCGGCCACGAGCAUGACGCCCACUCUACCGUCGCUGGACGAACACGGCGACGAAGAGGCAUGUUGAGGACCCACUCUGCAGUGCAUGCCUUUUGGGACCAUGCAAUAAGCUUCAGACGUGGCUGUAUGGCUCAGUUGGGGAGGGAAUCGUUUUCGCCCCCAAAUGAGCUCAGAGUCUGAGUAUGAAACCACGCGGCCAAAACAGUACGCCCCGCUGGCGAGUCUUUCUAUUGGCAGGUUGAACAAUGAAUGAGGCCUGCUUUGGGGGUUCUGACGGAGUUUGUGAGGGCCUGCUGGGCGCGCUCAGCUCUUGGUACAGUCCAUUAGAGCAGCAGGGUGCUACUGUAAGGCCCCGGCUGUGCUGGGAUGCCGUUUCAUUGUGAUCAGGCGCGGCGUAUGUGCUCAUUCAUCUGGGUGCUGUUGCAAGGGGUGUCGUAAUAUAUGUCCUGGUGCUGUCCGGGACUGCUUUAGGGUAUCAAACCUUCCAAGAUUGCGUUGGGCAGGACCGGGAGCGGCAUAAGCAGGGCGCGGGAGGGCAGGGGGGGACGAGGAGAAGGCACCUCAUGGGAUGGGCCAUGACAUGUCACAUGUGUCAUCCGGAAACGGCCUUGCCUCGCAUAUGCCACUCUCCCGCAAUCAUACUGCACAUUGGAAUCCUCUCAAGCCACCGCACGUAUCAUACAAGGUUACCAACCACAGCGUUCGUUCACGGAAGAAUGAAAGAAUCAGUGUCCGCAAAACGACCUCACACAUUUUAGACUUUUAACUUUGCUAGUCUAAGCUUGCUAUAACCAUCAUAAGAGCAACAGGUUAUUUAUGGCAGAGGCAGACGCGCCAGCAGGCGGGCAGCAUGCUUCGACUGAAGACUUGGCCAAUAGACUCUUCAAGAACGACAAAUUAGGGAUUGGAACCGUUGUGCGUGAUCUGGUGGCGCGCACAAAGCAGACUCAGGGUCAAGCGGUGAACGGAAAUGGCAAUACGCCGGGAGUCCAGAACGACCUGUUUGUUAUCGGAGGGGCAGAGUCUACCUUUGUGACGCAAGCUGGGCUCACCAGGGUAGUGGUUGACCCUGGCCCGGACGCGAAACCGGCGAGCAUGCCACAGUCAGAACCGGAGGAAAACUUAAAGCUGGAGGAUAGCGAGGAGCCUGAGAGGGCUAAAGCUCCUCCACCGCGACUGUCUGUGGGCGAUGCGGCUCAAGCGGCCAGUGCCGGAAAGCACCGUGGAUGCCGCGGCUGCUGGGCAAGCCUCCACGAUACGCUUACGGUGAGUUACAGUCUCUCGAACACUUCCAAGGUGCGCGGUCAGGUCAAGCGUGUCCGGGAGUGUGAUGUGAUAAUCGGGUUUUCGUCACUGCACCUGUGACCACAGCCCCUCGCCUUCAUUCCGCCGCGCAGGAGCUCUGGUGCGUUGCUCCUAGUGGCCCUGGUCCUGAUGCGUAUGCUGAUAGUGUAGUUGGCGGCAAUGAGGUUCCAGGGACCGCGGCUGUCGCUGAUUCCGUGCUGCGGCCCCAUCGCUGCAUAUUAUGUCCUGCAUGCUAGCCGGAGCACGAGUUCCUACCCGCCACGCCUACCCGCGGGCUGUCCCUUCAAUUGCAAUUCGCAUCCUACCCGCGCAGGGAAAUCAUCAAGCUUUACCCCAGCACAAUUAUUGUGCCCCUGUUCGUCUUCGGCAUCAUCUGCGGUACGUGUUUAGUACCGCUUUCCUCGAGAAACACGAGCAUGUUACAACAUGAAGUAACUACAAUAUGCAGGGUUGGGCAUCUGGGGCGUCAUGGCCGGGGCAGACUCAUACGUGCAUCAACAGAAGGACGACGUGCACAGCCAUGCAGUGGACGCGGUGACAGGCUUCCAGGUGAGGAGCCUGCCGUUAUGCCUCUUCUUCCUGAUGGAGCAGCAUGCUGGAAAUCGUCUUCGCUUUGCAACACGGUACAGAGCACAGCAAGGUUGUGUAUGGGCCGCUUGGGUGCGCAGCCUCUGCUCCUGACUUGCUCGCCUGUGUUCGUUUGCCCUCUGCAGAUCCAGCUGCAGCAGUCCUUCACGCCUGGUGUCACAAUGCAAAUGCUGGUGAAGCAGAGGCCAGACUGGGACUACUGGGUGCAGAACUUUGACUCCACUGCUACGGAGCUCAUGUCCCGUGUGCCGAAGGGUGCGCUGUGGAAUCUGCAGCUACAGCCGUUUGCGCAGGUCAUGAUGAUCAGCCCACUACGGCCGGAGGACGUGUCUCAAAUUUCCCCACCCCGCGACCUGAUUGGAGGUGCGGGAUGCAUUAGAACUGAAGCAAACAACCAUGAAUUAGCCCUGCCCCUGAAACACGCUCAGGCCAUACACAAAGGCAAUGACCCCGACGGGGAAGUUAGCAAUCGCACCCCGCAAUUAAUGACCUGCCAUGGCGGUUACGGAUUGCCUGUGUCGAGCUAUUGCAAUGUUGCCUGCGUUGCAGAUCCCACACGCCGUGACGGCAUCAUGAACAUCAUCCAAACACGGGAACCAGGUGUGAAUGGGCCAUUCUACUUGGUCCAGGGCUUCACAGGUGCGUUUGUGCGCUACCCCAUCUAUGUGCCAAACGUCAGCGAGACGGAGACGUUCGGGUUCCACUACAAGGAAAACGCCACCGCCAUCCCCUACUCGGAGCUCCCGGCCAGCGUGCGCAGCUGCACCAUCUGCUACAACGCCACCACACGUGAAAAGUGGUGAGCGUUUGGGGUUCGAAUGCCAUGCUUCUCACUGGUGCGUGCCUCCCGUGCCAUAGGCUGCACGUCGUAGCCUACUGCCUUACAAGGGUUUCCAACACGCCUCAUGCUCCUCAUGCUCACUCCUGGACCGAAAAUGUUUCGCCCGGACUCCAGGUGGGGCUUGCUGACGGUGCUGGUGAACUAUGAUGAGGUCACCAACGGCCAGGAUGCUUAUCUGGCAACGCUCCGUAAUAUGGUAGGUGCAUGGCGUGCUGUGGUCCUGACGUCUGCACUGCAGCGCUCGUAUGUAUGACCUGAUGCUGCGCAGUCGGUCGUGCAGUAGCGAGGUAGCAGCUAGCACCAAUAAGACUCGCCCUAGCUCUACCGCGUCGCCAAACCUUGUGUGCUUUGGACCCUCGCAGGAUUUUCACUACGCGUUGGUCCGGCCCAUCAACGCCACGGCGGAGCAGGUGAUUGCGCAGGUGGGCCCCACCUCCCUGCGCGACGAGGACGCGGUCACCGUGGAGGUCAAGGUGCUGAGCGCCGUGUGGCAGCUGAGGGUGAGUGCUACUACGUAUUGCAGUUGAUGCGUGUAUCUAGUUUGCAAACUGAAUGAGGGAUGUGCUGGUCGAUUUCCGUAUUGUGUUGCCACUGGUCCAUACGCUGCUGUGGUUUGCGUGCAGGUGGCCCCAGCCAACGGCUUUGAGCCAUCGUGGCGGGACCCGCUAAUCGCAGCGGUGGUCAUUGUCUCGUUCAUCAUUGCAGCGCUGCUCUUUGUGACGAUGGCCUCUUUCAAGCGGCAGCGGCUGCUGCUGCAACAGACAGUGGUGAGCCCAGGGCCUGUACGUGCCAACUUAUAACAGCAACAGGGCUGCGAUCGCCGCGCUAUGCAUGUAUCUGCAUCUGGUGUUACAGUAUCACGGUGACUUUAUAAGUCUGGCUGUGCAUGCCUUAUGGCGCUUGAACUCUGAUUCCCUUGCUCUCGUGCCUACAGGCCGCAAAUCGAAACCUGGCGGAGACGACUAAGCGCCUGGAGGAGGAGAAGGAGCGCAUGGAUGUGCUGCUGGUGCGGCAAUACGACCUGCUGAGGUGCCUGGACGCAAACCGCUCCAAACGCCACGGUGGCGGCCACGACAGCAGCGACGAUGCAAUGUCCGCAUCCAAGCGAGCCAUGAUGAGUGAGUGGUGCUUGUAGCAAGGGCGCAUGCUCACAUCGCACCAAGCAAAGGGCUGGAGCCGUGCGCUCGUGCUUGCCGUUUGCUGGGCAGCAUUGCUCGUGUUCACCUGUGCAUGUCUGUGCAUGUCCUUGUGUGAGUGGACAGCGAAGAGCUUGGCCUAACUGCAGCUGUCAACUGUAGUAUAAGCUAAAGCGGUUACAAGACGUGCUAACGUGUCCCGCUUGCCCCUUUUGCGGCGCAGCCCGCAUUGAGGACGCGCGCCGCUCGCUGAACGUGGCCAAGUCAUCCAUUGAGGACCCCAUCCAGGUCUUUGAGAUCCUGGGCGCUGGAGCGGUGAGUAGUGGUCACUGGGAGGAAGGUAGAGCCAGGCGAGAAGUCCGGAUUAAGACGCAUGCUCCCCAAUUAAGGAGGGCCGAGGUGUCGACGUCAAGGGAGCAUCACGCUGUGGCUGUGCGCUCCGUGCUGAGGUUCGUCGCCCUUUUCCUGUGUGUGUGCGUGUGUGUGUGUGUGUGUGUGUGUGUGUGUGUGUGUGUGUGUGUGUGUGUGUGUGUGUGUGUGUGUGUGUGUGUGUGUGUGUGUGUGUCCGUCCGCAGUUCGGCAAGGUGCAGCGUGGCCUGUGGCGCGGCACGGUGGUGGCGGUGAAGACCAUGAUCCUGCCGGCCAACAUGACGGGGCAGGAGAAGCGCGAGAAGAUGGCGGUGAUGGAGGCAGCCAUCAGCAGCAGUCUUGUGCACCCCAACAUCGGUGAGCUGCAUGCGUUGUUGACAUGUCUGGACGUUAUGUUGCCUGCAUGCCCGACCUCGAGCGCUCAGUGUCCGACUUGUGCUUGCUUGUGCUUCUUCCUCUCAGUGACCACCUACACCUACUUCAUCCGCCCGUAUCACGAGCCCACACACGAUGGUGUUCAGAACAUGCUAGCCGUGCCCAGGUAUGGACUUGAGUGUUUGGCGUUGAACGUCCGCGCUACACCCUCGCGCACCCCUAUCGUUUGUGCUUGCAAUAGUACCUUGACGGCCGUGUAUGUUGUCUGCCCUGGUUUCAGCUUGACCAACCCCACAAAUCCGAGCCGUCAGACAUCAGAUCCACAAUCCAUUCUCGCGGAGAGUGUUGCAUCGGACAGCACCAUUCACAGCUAUGAGGUGCGUCCUGAAGUGCUGUCGCGAAGGGAACGAUUGCCUGCUGGCUCUCAAGACCGGGCAUGGCCUACAUACAACAGUUCGAAUGCAUGCAUCCAUCAUGUGAAUGUCGUAUGACCGCAUCCCGCUCCUCAGGUGCGCCUGGUGUUGGAGUUCUGUGACAAGGGGUCGCUCAAGGACGCGCUGGACCAGUCCGCCUUCAUGCAGGGUGAGCCGGCCGGGCGGGUGUUGCGCCUCACGCGACAUCAGUUUACCCUCAAUUCCCUGCUGGCAUAGGGAGCGAUUACAUAGACAUCGCCACACCUGCCAUCAGUGCAGGCGCUGACAGAACUUACUUCGACGUUCGAAUUGAAUAUCCCGCGCAGGUGGCGCCCUGAACCUGGCGGCGAUGCUGGAGACGGCCGCGGACGUGGCCAAAGCCAUGGUGCACAUGCACGCGGCCAACGUGCUGCACAGCGACCUCAAGGCCCGCAACAUCAUGCUCAAGAGCAGCGGCACAGAGGGCCGCGGCAUCGUGGCGAAGGUGGCCGACUUUGGUCUGUCCACGCGCAUGGAGCACCAGGAGACGCACCUGAGCAGCUGCUUCCAGGGCACGCUGACGCACAUGGCUCCGGAGGUGAUGCUGGAGGGCCGCAUCAGCAAGGCCGCGGACGUGUACUCGGUGAGCAGAGCGGGUCCUGUGAGCAGGUUGGGUACAGUGUUGGGUGCGUAAGGCUUCUGUUGUCCGCCUGUGCCGGGUGUGUUCUGACCCACUGCCUCUCAACGCAGCACAUGAUGCAUGCCGUUCUUUCUAUUAUGCUCGUGUCCGCAGUUUGGCAUUCUCCUGUGGGAGUUGUUCUGCGCCGGCGACCCGUUCCAGGGCGUGCCGCGUGCGCACCUGGGUCACGCAAUCACCAAGGAGGCGCGGCGGCCCAAGUUCCCGCCCUUCGCUCCGGCGGGCUUCGUGCGGCUCGCGACGCGUUGCUGGGACCCCGAUGUCUCGCAGCGGCCCACGUUUGAGGAGGUGCUGUCAGAGCUGGUGC
rnacentral:lncRNA from 1 species